AGAAAUAGUACAAUACUCUCUGAACCUGAAGCAAAAUCAGGGCAAGCUAGCAGAAAGGCGUAUAAGCCAAAGGCAUCUAUGCAUCUUUAACAGCUGACCACGGCCCUGUGCGGUGGCUCCGCCCCUAAUCCCCGCACUUGGGGAGGCCGAGGAGGGAGGAUCGCUUGAGGCCAAGAGUUCGAGACCAGCCCAGGCAACACAACAAGCUCCCGCCACUACAAAAAAUUUAAAAAUUAGCCGGAAGCCAGAAGCUAGGAACAUGGCUGAGGAUCGCUCCCGCCCCUCGGAGGCCGGAGACCGAGGGUCACUCCCGCUCAGUGGAGGCCGGAGGCCCCGGGUCGUUCCCGCCCACUUCCGCGGACGAGCGCAGCCCCUCCGACCCCAUUCCCUGCGGUCAGUACGUUCAGGCCCCCUCGGUCUAGGCGAUCCCGCAGAGCCACCCACGGCGCUUUAAAAAUGUUGGUGCCCAACACCUCCCCGAAAUAGAGCCCGCUCUACCUCGGUCGGGGAGCCCAGGACCUCCGCGUCCCGCCAACGCCUCCGUCCGCGGGUCCGCUUUGCGCAGGCGCGGCGCCCCCACUCAGCCCCCGCCCGGGCGUGACGUGGUGCGCAGGCGCGAUGUCCCCCACUACCGCAACGAACGGUCGACCCCGGCGUGGUGCGCAGGCGCGAUAUCAGCCUAGCGCGCCCCCCCCCCCCCCCGGCGUGGUGCGCAGGCGCAGUCUGCGCAGGGACUGGCGGGACUGCGUGGCGGCGUCAACAGUCAUGUCGGGGGUCCGGAGGCUGUCGCGGCUGCUGAGCACUCGGCGCCUGGCGCUGGCCAAGGCGAAAGCGCAAAUCUGUGCAUGUCCACUUCGGGACCUUGUAAGUUAAGGGCCUCUACUUUGGGUCGUGUUUGGUGGCCCUUGUGCCACCAAAACUGUGCCAGUGUUUAAAAGCAGCUGUGCCAAUUUUUAAAAAUCAGACGGAGAGCGCAGCGCACUGACCAGGUGAGGACGCCGGGACCUGUGCUUGCCUGUGCGCUGAGUGCCUCGAGGGCCGGGCUCGGCUGAGUCCAGGAUGAUGGUCAGGGUUAUACUUCCCUGAGCCCUUGCUCUCUGAGUUUGUCUGAAUGUGCCCUCUACGAUUGCACCUUCAGAAUCGGCCUUCUAGGGUUUUAGUUAAUCAAGCUGAAUUGGAUAGGUUUCGUUGCUUGGUUCUUUUGAAUGAACUUACCCACCCACCUCCUUAAUUACGAAGUAAUUUUAAAUUGCAAAGUAAAAAUGUCAGUAGGAACCAAGGCAUUCAGCAAUAUUGAUUUGAAUUAUGCCCAUAAAUGUGCAGCUUUCUCCUUUUCGAAAUAGUUAUUAAAAACCUCGUUGAAUUAAAUGUGAAGAUUAGUCAUACGGCCAUCCUGUCAACAUCAGAAAUUAUGUAAACGUUCUAGUGUGUUGCUGUGGUUGGUGCUGACUGAGCAGAGACCCCUACCGCAUCUUGGGCUUUUAAAAGCUGCUAGGAGGGCAUCGACAAGCCAGAAGUAAAGCCCAUGGUCAAUGGGGCUUUUUAGGGGAAAUGUUAGCUUGUGAUUGGAGAAAAGCUAGAUCCUAGUGCCUUUGUCCUUAACCCGGAUGGUGCCCAGUGUUCCUUCUGCAGCCUCAGACCCCGCCAGCGGCGGAGGCACCUCAGACAAGAUGGCAAGAUAGC
rnacentral:lncRNA from 1 species